GACGAACGCUGGCGGCGUGCUUAACACAUGCAAGUCGAACGGAAAGGCCCUGCUUUUGUGGGGUGCUCGAGUGGCGAACGGGUGAGUAACACGUGAGUAACCUGCCCUUGACUUUGGGAUAACUUCAGGAAACUGGGGCUAAUACCGGAUAGGAGCUCCUGCUGCAUGGUGGGGGUUGGAUAGUUUCGGCGGUUGGGGAUGGACUCGCGGCUUAUCAGCUUGUUGGUGGGGUAGUGGCUUACCAAGGCCUUGACGGGUAGCCGGCCUGAGAGGGUGACCGGCCACAUUGGGACUGAGAUGCGGCCCAGACUCCUACGGGAGGCAACAGUGGAGAAUAGUGCACAAUGGGCGGAAGCCUGAUGCAGCAACGCCGCGUGCGGGAUGACGGCCUUCGGGUUGUAUUCCGCUUUCGCCUGUGACGAGGCGUGAGUGACGGUAAUGGGUAAAGAAGCUCCGGCUAACUACGUG
rnacentral:rRNA from 1 species